rnacentral:misc_RNA from 1 species
UUUCCGUAGGUGAACCUGCGGAAGGAUCAUUAUUGAAAUCCUUUGGAUGCUGCUGGCCUUUUUUUCAGGGGCAUGUGCACUCCGCCUUUUCAUCUCACCUGUGAACUCAUUGUAGGCCAGAUUUUUUUGCAAAUCUGUGUCUAUGUUAUUUUUAUACACACACAAGUAUUAUCAGAAUGUCUCUUGAGACCUUCAGUGGUCAAAAACUUAAUACAACUUUCAACAAUGGAUCUCUUGGUUCUC